UACGUAGGACGCAAGCGUUAUCCGGAGUUACUGGGCGUAAAGGGCAGGCAGGCGGACCGAUAAGUUGGAUGUGAAAUCUCCCUGGCUUAACCGGGAGAGUGCAUUUGAGACUGUCGGUCUGGAGGGCAGCAGAGGAGCGUGGAAUUCCGGGUGGAGUGGUGAAAUGCGUAGAGAUCCGGAGGAACACCAGAGGCGAAAGCGGCGCUCUGGGCUGCACCUGACGCUGAACUACGAAAGCCAGGGGAGCGAACGGG
rnacentral:rRNA from 1 species